GCCGCUGUGGUGGAAUUGGUAUACACGCUAGGUUUAGGUCCUAGUGGCCGCAAGGCCAUGAGGGUUCAAGUCCCUCCGGCGGCACCA
rnacentral:tRNA from 1 species